AGACCUACGGGACGCAGCAGUGGGGAAUAUUGCACAAUGGGGGGAACCCUGAUGCAGCGACGCCGCGUGGGUGAAGAAGUCAUUCGUGACGUAAAGCCCUAUCAGCAGGGAAGAAAAUGACGGUACCUGACUAAGAAGCCCCGGCUAAAUACGUGCCAGCAGCCGCGGUAAUACGUAUGGUGCAAGCGUUAUCCGGAUUUACUGGGUGUAAAGGGAGCGUAGGCGGCGCGUUAAGUCUGAUGUGAAAACCCGAGGCUCAACCACGGGAGUGCAUUGGAAACUGGCGGGCUGGAGGGCCGGGGAGG
rnacentral:rRNA from 1 species